GUUAUCAAUACCACCAAAUUAUGUUCAGCAAACUCUUCUGAACAAUACCUCAAAUGUAUUAUUUUUUGUAAAGUUACAAUGCCAUAUAGGAGAUCCUAUUUCAGGUUUUACAGUUAGAAUUUUGAUAGCUGGCAUGUUCUGCAUUCUGGAGCAGUGUAGUAAUUUGACAGUUAAAGUUACCACCUAAAUGCAUACCAUUUGUGAAAGUAGAUACCAUGGGGUAUGUCAUGUGUUCUGUUUUGAGUCUUAUUAUUUAGCCAUUUUUGCAUUAAUUUCUUUGCACAUCGCAAGUUAGCGG